UUUUUUUUUUUUUUCUCUUUAACAAACGCCUGAAAGGACAUGGAAAGGCCUCUUUUAUUUUUUUAAAUUUUUAUUUAAGUAUGGUUGGUUUAAACUGUUGUGCUAGUUUCUGCUGUACAGCCAAGUGACCCAGUCAUAACUUUAUAUACAUUAUUUUUCUUGUACUAUCUUCCAUCAUGUUCUAUCCCAAGAGAUUGGGUAUAGUUUUCUGUGCUAUACAAAAAAAAAAAAAAAAGCCUCUUUAGAGUUUCUAAUGCCCAGCCUAUGUUUUCUCUUUCUAGGCACUCCCCCGCCUUGGCCCCCCCCCCACCAUACUUUCUCUAGCAUCCUUGGCAUAAUCAGCUUUUCUUAUUUGAGAUAGGGAUGCUAUCCCAAAUGACUGAGAUGUAGCCUGCAAUACCCCUGUGAAGUUCCCAUUUCCUGGAGGGAUGACUGUGUGCUGGCUUUUGUGUCAAUAAAGGGCUCCUUAAAACUACCUAACAGAGGGAGAGAAGGAGCUGACUAGUCAGAAUGGAAGCGUGCCACAGAGACAGACCUCAGCCCUUUAAUUUCUGAAUUGUGGGGAGGCCCAGGAGCCCGAGGGGAGAGGAAAAUAGCCUCAGGACAGUGAGGCUGGCUAACUGGUCUGGACAUAUUUUAGAAUUUUAACAACCAGUGCUUCUGUAAUAACGGUGACUGUUGAGUAACUCAGUAUUUGGUGUGGCUUGCACACACCCUAAAAUGACAGGUGUGCUCUGCAAAAGAAUUGGGGUGUUGGGGCUAGAUUUUAGUGCCUGCUUCUGUAACUUGCUAUGUGACUUUGGGAAAGGCACAUCUCCCUCAGUCUCAGUUUUUCUAUCAGGCUAAGUGAUGUUUAAGCCUCCUUCCAGUCCUAACAUCCAUUUUCACCCCUGAAAGCCAUGGUCCAGGAUUUUUAUUUUUAAUUAAUCAAUUUGUCUGCAGGCUGCACCCGCAGCAUAUGGACCUUCCUGGAUAGGGGUCAAGUCAAAGAUAGAGCUGCAGGCCUAUGCCACAGCCAUAGCAACCUGGGAUCCAAGCUACACCUGUGACCUAUGCCGAAGCUUGCAGGAACACCAGAUGCUUAAUGCACUGAACAAGGCCCAGGGAUGGAACCUGCCUCCUCAUGGAUACUAGUCGAGUCCUUAACCCACGGAGCCACAACAGGAACUCCUGUUUUUAUUCUUGAACACACAAUAUUGUGUAGUGAUUGAGAGCCUGGGUCCUGCUACUUGGUCUGAAUCCUGCUCAGCAAUCCUGGGCGGGUUCUCCAAGCUCUCUAGGUCCCAUGCCUUUAAGUGUCUGAUGGGGGAAUAUAAUCAAUCCAUCACCUAGGGUUGUAUCAGAUGAGGGCUAAAAGGGAUAAUGCAAGAAGGGAGUUUAGAACCACGCUUGGUGCAACAGGAUGCAAAACCUGUUACUUUUUUAUUACUCCAAGGGCUAGAGUGAGGUGAAGAGUUAAAGAGCAUUUCUUGUCAUCCUUCAAACCCAUCCAUGAACUGCAAGCCUAUUUUUGCAGUACAAAGCUGCCUUAGCCCUUGAGCGUAUUCCUUGUUAAUGGCACUCUGAGUGUGGAGGUGGGGGGAGGGGGUACAGGCCAUGUCUUUAGAACGUGUUCCAGGCAUGGCCAGGGGCCCAUUCUCUGAUGUCUCAAUCUGUUCAGCAAGACUCUGCCACGUGCCAACUUUUGCUAAGGCAUGGAAAGAUUGAGUUUAAGGUGAAAUGAGGUAUUCGACAAAGGUGAAUUCUUUCUUUGGUUGGGAUGUAGCAGAGAUAUUUCAAAGAAUCUUCAUUUCCAACAGGAUCUUUUUUCCACCUGUAGGUGUGAUUAGGCUAAGGCAAGUGGUGGGGGUUCUGGAUGUAUAUCGCCCAGUUAGCAUUUUCCUACUAAAUUCUAAUUUGAAGGAUAUGAACCUAUUAAAGAACAGCUAUGACUCAGAAUUUUAAUAUAAGGGAGGAAUGGACAUGUGGGUAAAUUAUAAUUGGUUAUAAGAUGAAACCAAUCUGGGGAAUUUAGAGCCCAUUUCAUUGAAGGGUCCAGGAGAUGUAUUGACUUCUGUCUUGGCUGGUUCGGGUUGCUCAAAUAUUUUCACCGAGACUUGUACUCUCUCCAUUUUUCAGCUCAGUUUUCCUCUAUUCUGGCUUCAUUUUCAGAGGGUCUUUUCCCAAGAGGUGGCUAAGAAGUCCACUAGCAACCCUAGGCUUGCAUUUUGCCAAUUUCUCAACCCCAGCAGAAGAACAACACUUCAUUUCCAAUCACGCCAGCAAAAUCUCAGGUGGGAUUCUCAAGGGUCCAGCUGGAGUUAUGUGCUCCUCUCUGAAUUCACUGAGGCCAAGAGAAACAUCACUCUGACUGGCUGGGCUCAAGCUACAGACCAUUCCCUUGAACCAAGAGGAAGUACUACAUUCAGACUUCACCUACUAAGAACCAGUGGAAAGUUGGUUGCCCCCCAAAAGAUGCAUAUGUUGUUUCCAAAAGAAAGCAGCCAAAAAACCCAGAAGAUCUCAUUCCAAAUAAGGAUUUAGAAUGAAGAAAGCCAUCCACAUACACGUGCCCACAGAUGUUUAUCUGGAAGCUGUUGUGAAAUAGAUGGAAAAAUCAGGUGUUAAUGUUGAUGAAUCAUUUCACUGUUUCCUUUUCUUUAGCAAAGCCUCACCUCUGUAAAGCCUUUACUCUGUGCCUGGUGGUGUGUUAGCAGCUGAGGACAAGGACAGAGAAGGACGCUCUGGCUGAGAGCCAGAAUAUACCAUACAUUUGUUUUAUUGCUCCCCAACAAGGAUUUCUAUAUCCUAUCAUUCUUUCAAGUAGCUAUAGAUCUGCUUCUUCCCUUUUGAAUGCUGAGGGCCCGUCUCUGAGUUCCUUUGCUGGAAGGCGUAUUAUGAAAUGGGAUGUCCCGCCACAGACACACCUAAGAAAUCUCAACUGAUUGGCCUCAUGUAAACCCCACGGGGUCUCAGUCAAGGGAUCUUUCCCCCUUGCAACAGGUGUAGGGACAAAAGGCCAAUUGUCCUUGGGAGCCUAUAGGAUAAAUAGAAAGAAUAUGUCCUUGCUAGUUAAUCUGCUGCUGAUAAAGAGUAUUGUUUUAUCUCCUGCCAUCUCCACGAUUCUAGGGGAUGAGAACUAUUGUGACACAAAGUCCCCUUUGUCUUUCUAAUCCAAUGAGAUGCUCAAAUUGACCUUUCAUAUAGCCUUUGGUUGUCACAAUCUGAGCAGUGAAUUGGUAUUAGGCACUGAGGCGAUUACUUCUGUUCCUAAAAGGGCACUGUCAUCUACAGAGAUGCUGUGAUGCUGAAAAACAGCUUGAUUCCCUUCUGCUAAAAAACAAACAAAAACAAAAAAACCCUAUUUUUUAAAGCAUUUUUAGGUUUACAGAAAAGUUAAACCCAAAGGAGAAUUUCCAUCUACUCCCUCAGCCUGCGUUGUUCCUGAGCCCCCACCCUUGCAUUAGUGUGGUAGUGUGUACAUUGCCUAUGACUGAUGAACCAGUAUUAAAACAUGAUCACUGGGGUGCUAAAGGGAACAAAUUGGAAGGGAUGGACUGGGUGUUUGGGACUGUGUAUGCAUGCUGAGGUAUAUGGAAUGACUGGCCAAUGGGGACCUGCUGUAUAUAUAGCACAGAGAACUCUACCCAGUAUCUUGUGAUCAUCUAUGUGAGCGAAGAAUCUGAAAAAGAAUGGAUGUAUGUACCUAUAUAACUGAAUCACUUGGUACAGCAGAAAUGAUCACAACCUUGUACAUCAACUAUACUUCAAUGAAACUUUAAAAAAUAGAAAAAAUCAUGACAUAACAUUAUCAUUCAUCAAAAUCCAUCAUUUACAUUAGGGUUCACUCCUGACAGUGUACAUUCUGUGGGUUUUAACAAACGUAAAAUGACACCUACCCACAUUGUCAUACAGAAUCAUUUUACUGCCCUAAAAAUCCUCUGUGCUCUGCCCCUUUAACCCUCUCUCCUCCUCAGUGUCUGACCCCUAUAGAUCUUUUCACUGUCUCCAUGGCUUUGCUUUUCACUCAAUGGCAUGUAGUGGGGAUAAUGUGGUAGGUAGCAUUUUCAGACUGCUGUGUUUUACUUAGUGAUAUGCAUUUAAGGCUUCUCCAUGUCUUUCUGCAGCUGGAUAGCUCAUUUCUUUUUAUUGCGGGCUAGUUUCUGCUUAAUAUUUAAAGCAUUCAGGCUACGAGAGGAACAGAGUUGUCCUCACCUCUCACUUCCUCCUUAACUGGCAUUUCUUUCAUCCUAAGAGAUUACUAGGGCUCACCUAAGUUUUAAAAAAUAGGCUUACUCUGGUGCGUUAUUUCAAAGAAUUAAAUAUUCUGGAACAAUUUCCAGUACCUUUUGUCAGACCAAAGAACCAGUUCUAGUAUUUCCAUCCCAGGCAAACUAGAGGGGGGUCUGUUUCAGCUGUGGACAAUACUGAUGUUCUUGGCAUUUUUACCCUGAAGAAUUUAUAGCCAUAUAAUUCAUGUUUUUCCAAAAAUAAAUGAUUUCCUGACUUUUUUUUCCUCUAGCAACAUCGGAGGUCUUCCUCACUUGCUUAGUAAGAACAUUCGUUUUAAGUACGUGAACCCAAGCAUUUUCCCUCUUUAUUUACAUUUCCUCAACAGAAUCUACUUUGUUCAUGAAGAGCACGGUAGAGGAGGGGCCUCAGGUCUUGUAACUGCUAUUUGAUAAUCCUGAAAUGUGCAGGCGUUAGAAUUCAAGGAAGUGAGGUGAGUGUCCCGCUCUGCACCCUUUACUCGCUGGGUGCCUUUUAAAGAGUCCUUUCUCCUCUCUCUGCCUCCAUUUUUUCCCUUCUGUAAACUUCAAUGAAGAACAGGCUCUUUCUUGUAAGACUGUUCUGGAUAUGGAAGGAGAAAAUCCAAGGAGGGCAGUGAGCACAGUUUCAACAACAGAAAACUGCCUCCAACAUCAGCCAAGCCACAUCAGGUAAUUGGCCUGUGUAUAAAGGAAAUGCUGAGUUCACAGUAGAUGCUCAUGAAAUUAUUCCUGAUGUGCCAAGGGGGGCAAAGAAAGGGCAACCCCAUCACAUGAAGGCUCUUAGAGAACACUAUGGAGGAGAUGGACUUAACCGGGGUGGAGCAUGAUGAAGCAGAUUAGGUGCCCUUGCAAUCUCAUGGAACCGAGGACAUCACUUCUACCAUCUUUUGGCUCUGCCCUUGCUGAGACAGGGCCACUGCUAAGAGCUCACAUACUUUUCUCCAAAAGCCCAUUUCCUACAAGCACAUGCUGUGGAAAGGUGAUUAGCCAACAGCAAAGUUCCCAGGUGUUUUUCCUUUUUGAUUUUUUUUUUUUCUUUUUGGCUGCCCCCACAGCAUAUGGAAGUUCUUGGGCCUGGGAUUGAAUCCAAGCCCCAGUUGCAACCUAUGCCACAGCUGUAACAAUGACAGAUCCUUAACCCACUGCACUGGGCUGGGGAUGGAACCAGUGCCUCCACAGAGACAAGCCAACUCGUUAAACCACUGUGCCACAGCAGGAACUCCCCAGUUCCCAGGUUUAAUAAACAGUUUCUUUAGGGUGAAACUAAAUAGUAUAGCCUCAUUCUCUGUCUCCACUUCUCCUCACCGCACCCCCAACCUCUCAGAUAAAAUAACUUAUCCCAUAGUUAUUAAGAUACUGAUGGUGGAAGAAAUCUCAAUCCCACAUAACAGGAGAGCUAACUACAUAGGGACUGUGGGCACUCUUUUUUUUAUCCUACUUUUACUUUUUGAUUCACUUUCCUUUUGCAGACAAAGACUCCCCUGCCAAAGGCAGGGUAAAUAAACUCAGACACAUCCUGUCUCCUUUACAUCUUUGUUUAUCCAUAAACCGUCAAAGAUACAGAUGAAAAUCCACCAAAGUGUGCAUGGAGAAGUUAGACAAAGGCUAAAUGAGGCAGGAGCAUAAAAGCUCGAUGAUGGGGAAGAUACUAUCUGCAGUGAUGCCAAGCUGGCUCUAUGUGAUGACAUGAAUAUAGAUUAAAGAAAUCAACAAAAGAUGACAACUAAUAUAGUUAAGAAUGGAUUUGGUUAUGAAAGGAAGCGAUAAUGGAAAAAGGCAAUAUGAGAAAGGAUCUGUAUACUUACUGGGAAAGUGAUAACACUUUAUCACCACCAAUGUGCUCUGUUGACCGCCUACAGCCCUGAGGGGGGUGGGGGAGGGGAUGCUAGAAUGCCAGGCUCAGUUGGAUGGAGCUGGGACAGGUGAUAUCCUUGUGAAAUUCUUAAGAGACUUGAGAAUGAGAGUGUGUUUGAAACCUGGCUCCUCAUUUACCUUUUCCCUUUAACUGGGUGACCUUUAGCUACUCCAAACCUCACUUUCCUUGUGUAUAGAUGAGAUAAGUUAAUAUCUACCUCAGAGGAUUAUUUAAGAUUUGUUGAGGUAAAGUAUAAAAGUGCUUGAUAGUGUUUGGCUCAGAGGAACUUCCAGUAAGAGUUAGCUGUUACUUUUUUCUUUUUAUGGCAGCACCUAUGGCAUACAGAGACUCCUGGGCUAGGGAUCGAAUCUGAUUCUUAAUUUACUCAGCAGGGCCAGGGAUUGAACCUGUAUCCUCAAGGACACGAUGUUAGGUUCUUAACCCAUGGAGCCGCAGUGGGAAAUCCUAUGAUACUUUCAAUAUAGUAAUAAAGAUUAUGAGUCAAAGGGCACAUUGCACUCAGUGUUGCCCCAUUUUUGCCACUAUGAAACUUCUUAUUCCAAGGCAUCCCACAAGGUUAAUGUUCUGCAGAAAACAAUUUGGAAAAUGCUACCUUAAGUAAAACCAAAGCAUUGGGUUGGAGGGCUGGGGUUUAGGUGGGAAAUAGGAUGUAUGCCUUGAAUAUCCUCAUUAGAAAGGUAAGACUUCUAAAGUGGUAUUUGUGGUAAUUCCUCUAGCAUUUGGAAGAUCGAGUCUGGGGUCAAGAAGGUCUUCUUUAUGCUGUCCUCAUUUCUGUGGAAAAUCAGAUUUCAUUUCCAUCAUGCCUGCCUAACAGUAGUUUUUCUGGGACCUAAAUGAAAACAAGGACUGCCUGCUCAAAUUGGUUACAAGAUUUGCAAAGCACUGUUUUCUCUUUUGACCUCUACCCCGGCAGCAGGCCUGCAUCUACACUACCCUGCUCCUGGGUCAGAAUGUCCCCUCAUGUCCCAUGAGCACAGAGCUGUCACAUACCCUUGGGAAGGGACUGGAGCCUGGAAGAAGCAUCUGGAGAAGAAGAAACUGUCUGCAAGGCUGUGGAUGUUUUAUGAUCUGGAAGGGAUGGAAAAUUCAAGGUACAGGCUUGCAGCUUAUGUUCCACUCCCCUCCCCCCAGUCCUCUUUUUUUAACACAAGUCUCAGCAGUGAGACUCAUUUUCCACGACUCCCAAAGUGGUUGUGCAGUAUAUCUGUUAAUUUAAUCAGCUUCCUCCAUGGAGGCCACCUUCUCUAAUUGCAUUCUUGUGAGGGAUGAUAGAUAUGACAAAAAAGAUUUCAUCUCUAGAAAGGAAGCCAGUCUCAUCACUGAUACUAGUAAUCAAUCUCCCAUCCCCCCAAAAAAUAGUGCAUGAGCCUCAGGUGCCACUUGGCAUUGGGCACACCCUGUCUCAGGUCACAUUUGUUUACUAGAGCAUCAUCUCUUUCUCCUCCUUUCUGGGGCCAACGAUGAGAAAGUGAAGAGCCUGAAGUGAAAAUGGAGUGUCUACAGCACUACCUGGGCCAGUAAGUAAGUGGACUAAGUUGCUUUCUAGAAGUAACCCAGAAGAUUGCAUUAGUGCGAUGGGAACUUGUGUUAAGAGUGAAAACAGGAGUUCCUGUCGUAGCGCAGUGGUUAACGAAUCUGACUAGGAUCCAUGAGGUUGCAGGUUCGAUCCCUGGCCUUGCUCAGUGGGUUAAGGAUCUGACGUUGCCGUGAGCUGUGGUGCAGGUCGCAGACACGGCUUGGAUCCCACGUUGCUGUGGCUGUGGCGUAGGCCAGUGGCUACAGCUCCAAUUGGACCCCUAGCCUGGGAACCUCCAUAUGCCAUAGGAGCGGCCCUAGAAAAGGCAAAAAAAAAAAAAAA
rnacentral:lncRNA from 1 species